rnacentral:rRNA from 1 species
AUUGAACGCUGGCGGCAGGCUUAACACAUGCAAGUCGAGCGGAGAUGAGGUGCUUGCACCUUAUCUUAGCGGCGGACGGGUGAGUAAUGCUUAGGAAUCUGCCUAUUAGUGGGGGACAACAUUCCGAAAGGAAUGCUAAUACCGCAUACGUCCUACGGGAGAAAGCAGGGGAUCUUCGGACCUUGCGCUAAUAGAUGAGCCUAAGUCGGAUUAGCUAGUUGGUGGGGUAAAGGCCUACCAAGGCGACGAUCUGUAGCGGGUCUGAGAGGAUGAUCCGCCACACUGGGACUGAGACACAGCCCAGACUCCUACGGGAGGUAGCAGUGGGGAAUAUUGGACAAUGGGGGGAACCCUGAUCCAGCCAUGCCGCGUGUGUGAAGAAGGCCUUAUGGUUGUAAAGCACUUUAAGCGAGGAGGAGGCUACUGAGACUAAUACUCUUGGAUAGUGGACGUUACUCGCAGAAUAAGCACCGGCUAACUCUGUGCCAGCCGCCGCAGUAAAAC